AUUGAACGCUGGCGGCAUGCUUUACACAUGCAAGUCGAACGGCAGCGGGGACUUCGGUCCGCCGGCGAGUGGCGAACGGGUGAGUAAUGCAUCGGAACGUGCCUAUCAGUGGGGGAUAACGCUUCGAAAGGAGUGCUAAUACCGCAUAUUCUCUGAGGAGGAAAGCAGGGGACCUUAGGGCCUUGCGCUGAUAGAGCGGCCGAUGUCGGAUUAGCUAGUUGGUGAGGUAAAGGCUCACCAAGGCGACGAUCCGUAGCGGGUCUGAGAGGAUGAUCCGCCACACUGGGACUGAGACACGGCCCAGACUCCUACGGGAGGCAGCAGUGGGGAAUUUUGGACAAUGGGCGAAAGCCUGAUCCAGCCAUGCCGCGUGAGUGAAGAAGGCCUCGGUUGUAAG
rnacentral:rRNA from 1 species